rnacentral:rRNA from 1 species
GAUGAACGCUAGCGGCAGGCCUAAUACAUGCAAGUCGAGGGGCAGCACGGUUAGCAAUAACUGGUGGCGACCGGCGCACGGGUGCGUAACACGUAUACAAUCUACCUUAAACAGGGGGAUAGCCUUUCGAAAGAGAGAUUAAUACCCCGUAAUAAAUUGAACGGCAUCGUUUGAUUUUGAAAGCUCCGGCGGUUUGAGAUGAGUAUGCGUCUGAUUAGCUAGUUGGUGAGGUAACGGCUCACCAAGGCGACGAUCAGUAGGGGAUCUGAGAGGACUAACCCCCACACUGGUACUGAGACACGGACCAGACUCCUACGGGAGGCAGCAGUAAGGAAUAUUGGUCAAUGGAGGCAACUCUGAACCAGCCAUGCCGCGUGCA